GACGAACGCUGGCGGCGUGCUUAACACAUGCAAGUCGAACGCUGAAGCUCAGCUUUUGUUGGGUGGAUGAGUGGCGAACGGGUGAGUAACACGUGAGUAACCUGCCCCCUUCUUUGGGAUAACGCCCGGAAACGGGUGCUAAUACUGGAUAUUCACUGGUCUUCGCAUGGGGGUUGGUGGAAAGGGUUUUUCUGGUGGGGGAUGGGCUCGCGGCCUAUCAGCUUGUUGGUGGGGUGAUGGCCUACCAAGGCUUUGACGGGUAGCCGGCCUGAGAGGGUGACCGGUAACAGUGGGACUGAGAUACGGCCCAGACUACUACGGGAGGCAGCAGUGGGGAAUAUUGCACAAUGGGCGCAAGCCUGAUGCAGCGACGCCGCGUGAGGGAUGGAGGCCUUCGGGUUGUGAACCUCUUUCGCUCAUGGUCAAGCCGCAACAAUGGUUGUGGUGAGGGUAGUGGGUAAAGAAGCGCCGGCUAACUACGUG
rnacentral:rRNA from 1 species